rnacentral:piRNA from 1 species
UUCCNGAACUGCUAUCACUGUGCUGGUAGCC